CCGGGCUCACCGGGCGGGCUGCGGGCCGCGGCGCCGCCGGCUCGGUGGGUGGGUGGGGCCGGCCGAGGGCUCUCCCCCCCCGCCCGUGUCCGGAGCCCGGGAGCCCGCGCCCGCCCACCCGCCCCGCAGCGGCCGGGCUCCUGGGCCAGCGCGGCGAGGCUUCGGCUGUCCUUGCCGGAAGGUGAGACCGUCGUCCCCCAGGCACGUGGAGGACGGGAGACGUGCCUCCUCUGGAAGGUGCGGAAAACGAACGCCACUCACCCGUGCGGGGCCCACCAGACCAAGAAAUGAGGACGGGCCAACAAAGAUGCUGUCCUGCAGUGUGUGCGCCAGAGUGACCAAGUGACCACCUCAUGCCAGCCAUUCCUGGAUUUGAGCCUGACUCUGCCACUUACUCGCAGUGUGCCCAUAGAAGCCCCUGCUCUGCCAAAGAAGCCUUCUUCCUCCUUGGGCCUGUGACUGUUUACCUGCUCUCAGAAAAGCAGGUGUCAGGAGGCAGCUGCUGGUUGUGGUCUGUUCUCCCCAGAUACCAGAGCGCCUGGCCUCCUCCACACUGGUGGCCAUUGGCUAACAGGAAGCCAAAACAGAGUCAUGCUCGCCACCCUCAGCCACCUAGCCGGAGAACAAAGAGAGCACAGGAAACACCUGGAGGAGCAGGCAGCUGGCAAGGGGACGCUCUGCCCAAGAGAAGAAAGAGUUCCCGACAGGAGUUAGCCGUGAAGAACUGGGGGAGGGGCUCUGACACUUAAUUGCCCUUCUCUUGGCUCCCAGCAGCUGCUGAGAACUGACAGCUGAGUUGUUCAAAUGUGCCCACACUCCCACCCCCACUGUAAAGGAAUCAGCCCCCUCUAGCACCAGCUUCCUAGAGCCAAAUCAAGAACACUCCUAAAGGAGACUCCGCAGAGGGCUUUGCCUCUGCUCCUCUCCUUCCUUCCACGGCCUCCUCACCCCCAGCCAGAGAAUCUGAUCGUCUUUGGACCAUGUAAAUUUAAACCCGUGGUCCAGGCGUGAAGACAGAAUCCUUAACCAAUGUCUCAGCCUGUGUUAUGUGAAAGCGUAUUCCAAAGAUGCGUCUCCUUUAUUUCCAAACUUAUUUAUCUAGAUCUUCAUCCAUAUCCGCCCACUGACUGUUUAUGAUUCCAAGUAGCUGUGGUUCAGGAUGGAACAGACUUCACCAGGAUGAUCAAAUGAAGCCCUACCAUCAGCAUCCACCCAAGAGCAUGUCUGCUAGCGUGUAGACCGUGUGCUGGGAACUAUGUGUGUAUGCAGCGGGGUUCAGCUCACAGGGCUCCCUCAACCCCUUCUUAGGAAACUCCCAAAUAAGGCACUUUCCUUCUUAUGUCUGGAGUGAGAGGGUUGGAGCGGGGCAGAGAGGAGAGGGCACUUGUCCCACAGCCACUUGUGAGCAUAUCACGGUUUACUCAACCCAUAUCUUUUCAUUCAGCAGCCAGUGCACUCAGGCAGUAUACCCAGACUGCCUGUGCCAAGUUGUGUUGACAGCACAUGGGAGAAUAAAAAGAAACAGAAGACAAUGGUUCCUCCUAUGGGGGGGUGCAUGUGGUAACACAUGGAGAGGGGACUUGAGCUUGCAAAGCCACCAGACAUCAACCAAAAGUGAUACGUGAAAAUGUGCUGACUGUAUUUGUUAUAAAAGUGUGAACAGCAAUAAACUAUGUGUAUAUAUCAUUAAGAGGCUCUGGAGUAAGAAAUAUGUGGUAAAACUGUGAGCAGUUUUAAACCAUGUGUAUAAAUGUUGAAAAGCCAUGAGGUAGGAAGGUUUUCAAGAGGACAGUGGAAUUGUCGAGGGGAGGCGUCCUGAAGAGGCUGCAGGGGGCUGGAGAGAGACACACCCAAGGUUGAAGCCUGUUCCCACCACCUCCCCCUGGUUCUGCCCGGGCUUCAUUGUCCUCAUCCGUGAACUUGAGAAUCAGAGAUUUUCCUUUUCCAUCUGGAAGUGCAAAUGGAAUGGCGAGAGAUGAGAAAACUGAGGCUGGGAAGGAGGAAGGGACCAGGCAAAGACAUCUAUCACUAGUUUUGUCAGACCUGAAGCUAGGGCCCGUAUUUCCCAACUCCUAAGCCCAGAGCUACUUCCCCCUCCCUGAAGCUGGCCUCCAACAAAGACAUUGGGAAGGAGGACUCCUGAGGGCAGGAUCGGUGUGCAGUAGCUGCAGUCUAUCCUCUCUCUCCUGCCGCCUCCAUCAGUUCCUUCGUGACAGCGGCCCAGCCUUUUCUCCAGGUAAACCCACUUAGGGAGUUAAUUGAUAACUAAGGUUCUCCCAUAUUAUAAUUUAAAGUGUGUCCACUCCCCUUUAAGUUAUAUUUACAUUUCAAUGGCAGGUGUUUAAAGACCUAAGAGGCUGCAAGAUUCAAAGGAUUGUUUUCCUAAGAAAGUGCAAUCUCAAGUUGGCUGCUUUGAGCUGGGACCCCUGGCUGGCAAACCCUGAAUAGACUUGAUGUUUUUCUUCCACCUGAUCUACUUACCUUUCAUCUGUUGGCCUCUAUUCUUGGCAACCUUGACAUUCAUCCAUUCACCCAAUAUUCACUAACACCUACUAAGCACCAAAUACUGCUCAGGCAAGGUCCCCGGCCUACAGACUAGCUGUAAAUUUGGAGUUGUAAGGACUAGGGCAGAGGAAAGAACUGAGUAUCAUGGGAACACAUAGCCCAGACUGCGAAGGGAAGAUGUCACUGAAAACUUGCCUUAAAGAGAUUGUCCGAAUCUUGAGAGACAAGAGUUAACCAAAUAAAAGUGGGUGGGCAGGAGGGAGGCAGGGCAUCCCUUGGGCACAGGCCCGAGGCCGCAGUCCCAGGCACAGGUGAAUGGAUCCCAGCGGAAGGUGGGGAGAGCUGCCUCUAGACGAACCCCUGGAAGGGAAGCAGGGGCCCCCUGUGUGCCUACGAUUCUAUCAGAAACAUGCUGAGCUGCCCCUUCCUGGAGAUCACGCCACCAUGAGGUUGGUUGCCUUGGAUGUCCUCAGUGCAGAGCUUUACUCCUAGUAUGGGAGGCAGAAAACCCUACACUCCCACUGCCAGGUGGCCCCAGGUGCAUCAUAGGUCACAAACUGGGGGCCUAUGCAGAUACGUACUUAUGUUUAACACUUUUUAAAAAUGAGUUGCGGUCAUUAGAAUUUAGCGAGAUGUCAAAUAAAAGUCUAUAUUUUAGGUUACUUGAAAAAUCACAAUAUCAGAUAUCUCUGGUCUCCUCGGAUGACAAUCGACUUGAGGUAAGGAGGGAGCCCUUUUGAGACAAGGCUUGAGCUUGCCUUCCAAGUUCACCACAGCCUCUGUCCAGCUAUCCUCAUUCAUUGACUGACUCGCCCCAUCCUUGCUCCUCUGGUGCCCAAAAACCUUUAAAUGGCCUCUCCUUGCUGGUGCUGGUAAAUAAAGUUAGUCCUUGCCAACCUGCCCAGCUAUAACUUCCUCUUAUCUGAUGUGCUCUGGGCAGCCUGUCAGGUUUAUGGAACAAGGGUUGAAUUGAGGCCCAGCCUUGUUCAUAGGAGUCAGGGUGGAGAGUGAUAGAGCCGGGCUUCAGCUGGGAAUAAAGUGACUUGGAGCUGGUGGGGGCCCAGAGAGCCAUGUUCCUCUCAAAGAAGGGGAGAGGAUGGCUGCACCCCUGGGACAUAUAUACUCGACUGUGUUAUGUUGUUAUCCAGGGGGUCCUCUUAGGCUGAGCUCAAAUGUUUUUCUUGCCAGUUCUGCAAAGAAUUGGUGCAUAGAGAAAGCCAGAACUCAUCAGGCUUGCCCUUGUCAGCUCCCCAUUGCUCUCUCUUCUGGGAAGGGAGAGUACGUGAGCGUGAUUCCACAGGUGGGCAGAAUGGAGGUAAAAUUAUUAUUGGAAAAUCCCUUUCCCAGACCACUUUAUGUGUGAAUGAGAACGUAACCCAUUUUGGUACUAAUCCACAAGCAGACCAUGGAGUCCAAAGGUCAAAGCUGCCCCGUGUCCAACGAGAUCUGAUCUGGCAAAGAUACUGUACACUCACCAAGAAUGAGAGCUCAGACAUGAGUUUGUUCAUUCAUUCAGCAGAUACUUACAGUGCCUACUAUGGGCUACAUAUGGCACUAGGAGGAGCUUUUGGACUGUGAGAAUCUUUAAAC
rnacentral:lncRNA from 1 species